AGCACCGUAGAGCAGUGGCAGCUCGCUGGCUCAUAACCUGGAGGUCGCGCGUUCGAUCCGCGCCGGUGCAACCA
rnacentral:tRNA from 2 species